AUUGAACGCUAGCGGGAUGCCUUACACAUGCAAGUCGAACGGAGUGGCGAACGGGUGAGGAAUGUAUCGGAACGUGCCCAGUAGCGGGGGAUAACUACGCGAAAGCGUAGCCAAUACCGCAUACUAUUGGCGCGGCCGAUAUCGGAUGAGCUAGUUGGAGGGGUAACGGCUCACCAAGGCCACGAUCCGUAGCUGGUUUGAGAGGAUGACCAGCCACACUGGGACGGAGACACGGCCCAGACUCCGACGGGAGGAAGCAGUGGGUAAUUUUGGACAAUGGGGGAAACCCUGAUCCAGCCAUCCCGCGUGUGCGAUGAAGGCCUUCGGGUUGUAAAGCACUUUUGUCAGGAAAGCGGUACCUGCAGAAUAAGCACCGGCUAACUACGUGCCAGCAGCCGCGGUAAUAC
rnacentral:rRNA from 1 species